CAAGAACCUGAGAGAAGAUUGGAGGCAAGAAUCAAUGAGCAAACUGAAAUCCCAGCUAUGCAAUGAAGGCCUGCUUCUGGAAGGUUCCUUGUGGCUUUUUGCACUCAAUGAAAACACAACUUGUGCCAGGAUGCUGGACUUGCCUCUGUGGAUGUGUACUGAGCUCUCGCUGCAGAGGACUGCCAGGACUGAAUGGCUAUGCUCUUCUGCCAAGGUCAGUUCCAUUUUGAGAAGGCUGUCUCUCGUGUAGUCAAGGCUGAAAAUCCUCACUUAGCAUUUCCAGGUGACAUCUGGAUUUGCCAGGAAGCGGGUGCACGCUGAGAUGACCAUUUCUGCGACAGGUCAGUCAGAAAUCAUGGAAUCAAAAACUUGCUCCUCACUGCCCCACUUGGAAAUACAUUAAAAAGCAAAAAAAAAAAACCAACCACCUCAGAACAACCCAUAAAAGAGAGAGCUAAGUGCAUCUCCCUCUUCAUGUUCU